UUUAUGGAGAGAGAAACUAAAGCACAGAGAAUCGAAAUAAUAUGCCCAAGGUCCUAUAAGACUUAAGACUUAAGUAGCAGAGCAAGGGUUUGAACCCAGGCUAUCUGACUGUAGAGGCCAUAAUUUUGUAUAGGGAUGAGUGUGAGUACCAUCAUGAAGUGAUGUUGAAUUCAUGAGCUGACUUAAAUGAGAGGAGAUAUUUGAGGGAGACAUGAAUGAAUAAGAAGAAAGACAGACUCACUCCAGGGAGAAGCAACCAGCAAGGGACCUUGUGACCAUGGGGAAGAUAAGUCCAGCCUGCUGAGUUUUGACAGACAUGUGACCCAGCCAACUCCAGACAUGAGAGUGAAACCAUCCUAGAUUAGCCAGCCGCCAUGCAACCUGUAACUGACCAUGAUACAUGCUCAAGCGCCAGAGAGAUCAGUUUCAACUAGCACAAACAGAACAACUGCCCAGACUAAGAAAGAAUGGAAAUCUGUCCUCUCACCUACCUGGAACUUUGGAGGAAUAAUCCCACUUUGAACACACAGAAAGUGAGAGCAAAAUAAACUUUUAGUUACAUGAAACAACAAUAUCUAUGGUAAAAGAAAUAGAAUGAAGGUGAACAAGAGGUUUUCCCAGAUCAAGAUCUACAAAUGGACCUGCAAUGCAAACUUCUUUCAGUAGAUCCUGGAGUCACAUACCACUGGCACUGGCCCUUCUCAGCCACUUCACCCCUUCUUGCUUUGAUGGGAUUCCCUGUGGGGAAAAGAAGGUGCAGCCAGCAGGGUUACAUUC